GACCCCGUAGCUCAGCUGGAUAGAGCAAUCGCCUUCUAAGCGAUCGGUCGCAGGUUCAAAUCCUGCCGGGGUCGCCA
rnacentral:tRNA from 1 species